UUAAGUUAGAAAGGGCGCACGGUGGAUGCCUUGGCACUAGGAGCCGAUGAAGGACGGGACGAACACCGAUAUGCUUCGGGGAGCUGUAAGCAAGCUUUGAUCCGGAGAUUUCCGAAUGGGGAAACCCACCACUCGUAAUGGAGUGGUAUCCAUAUCUGAAUACAUAGGAUAUGAGAAGGCAGACCCGGGGAACUGAAACAUCUAAGUACCCGGAGGAAGAGAAAGCAAAUGCGAUUCCCUGAGUAGCGGCGAGCGAAACGGGACCAGCCCAAACCAAGAGGCUUGCCUCUUGGGGUUGUAGGACACUCUGUACGGAGUUACAAAGGAACGAGGUAGAUGAAGAGGUCUGGAAAGGCCCGCCAUAGGAGGUAACAGCCCUGUAGUCAAAACUUCGUUCUCUCCUGAGUGGAUCCUGAGUACGGCGGAACACGUGAAAUUCCGUCGGAAUCCGGGAGGACCAUCUCCCAAGGCUAAAUACUCCCUAGUGACCGAUAGUGAACCAGUACCGUGAGGGAAAGGUGAAAAGUACCCCGGAAGGGGAGUGAAAGAGAUCCUGAAACCGUGUGCCUACAAGUAGUCAGAGCCCGUUAACGGGUGAUGGCGUGCCUUUUGUAGAAUGAACCGGCGAGUUACGAUCCCGUGCAAGGUUAAGCAGAAGAUGCGGAGCCGCAGCGAAAGCGAGUCUGAAUAGGGCGAAUUGAGUACGUGGUCGUAGACCCGAAACCAGGUGAUCUACCCAUGUCCAGGGUGAAGUUCAGGUAACACUGAAUGGAGGCCCGAACCCACGCACGUUGAAAAGUGCGGGGAUGAGGUGUGGGUAGGGGUGAAAUGCCAAUCGAACCUGGAGAUAGCUGGUUCUCUCCGAAAUAGCUUUAGGGCUAGCCUCAAGGUAAGAGUCUCGGAGGUAGAGCACUGAUUGGACUAGGGGCCCCUACCGGGUUACCGAAUUCAGUCAAACUCCGAAUGCCGAUGACUUAUCCUUGGGAGUCAGACUGCGAGUGAUAAGAUCCGUAGUCGAAAGGGAAACAGCCCAGACCGCCAGCUAAGGUCCCAAAGUAUACGUUAAGUGGAAAAGGAUGUGGAGUUGCUUAGACAACCAGGAUGUUGGCUUAGAAGCAGCCACCAUUUAAAGAGUGCGUAAUAGCUCACUGGUCGAGUGACUCUGCGCCGAAAAUGUACCGGGGCUAAACGUAUCACCGAAGCUGCGGACUGUUCUUCGAACAGUGGUAGGAGAGCGUUCUAAGGGCUGUGAAGCAAGACCGGAAGGACUUGUGGAGCGCUUAGAAGUGAGAAUGCCGGUAUGAGUAGCGAAAGAGGGGUGAGAAUCCCCUCCACCGAAUGCCUAAGGUUUCCUGAGGAAGGCUCGUCCGCUCAGGGUUAGUCGGGACCUAAGCCGAGGCCGAAAGGCGUAGGCGAUGGAUAACAGGUUGAUAUUCCUGUACCACCUCCUCACCAUUUGAGCAAUGGGGGGACGCAGGAGGAUAGGGUAAGCGCGGUAUUGGAUAUCCGCGUCCAAGCAGUUAGGCUGGGAAAUAGGCAAAUCCGUUUCCCGUGAAGGCUGAGCUGUGAUGGCGAGCGAAUUAUAGUAGCGAAGUUCCUGAUUCCACACUGCCAAGAAAAGCCUCUAGCGAGGUGAGAGGUGCCCGUACCGCAAACCGACACAGGUAGGCGAGGAGAGAAUCCUAAGGUGAUCGAGAGAACUCUCGUUAAGGAACUCGGCAAAAUGACCCCGUAACUUCGGGAGAAGGGGUGCUCUGUUAGGGUGCAAGCCCGAGAGAGCCGCAGUGAAUAGGCCCAGGCGACUGUUUAGCAAAAACACAGGUCUCUGCGAAGCCGUAAGGCGAAGUAUAGGGGCUGACGCCUGCCCGGUGCUGGAAGGUUAAGAGGAGCGCUUAGCGUAAGCGAAGGUGCGAAUUGAAGCCCCAGUAAACGGCGGCCGUAACUAUAACGGUCCUAAGGUAGCGAAAUUCCUUGUCGGGUAAGUUCCGACCCGCACGAAAGGCGCAACGAUCUGGGCACUGUCUCAACGAGAGACUCGGUGAAAUUAUAGUACCUGUGAAGAUGCAGGUUACCCGCGACAGGACGGAAAGACCCCGUGGAGCUUUACUGCAGCCUGAUAUUGAAUGUUGGUACAGCUUGUACAGGAUAGGUAGGAGCCUUGGAAACCGGAGCGCCAGCUUCGGUGGAGGCAUCGGUGGGAUACUACCCUGGCUGUAUUGACCUUCUAACCCGCCGCCCUUAUCGGGCGGGGAGACAGUGUCAGGUGGGCAGUUUGACUGGGGCGGUCGCCUCCUAAAAGGUAACGGAGGCGCCCAAAGGUUCCCUCAGAAUGGUUGGAAAUCAUUCGCAGAGUGUAAAGGCACAAGGGAGCUUGACUGCGAGACCUACAAGUCGAGCAGGGACGAAAGUCGGGCUUAGUGAUCCGGUGGUUCCGCAUGGAAGGGCCAUCGCUCAACGGAUAAAAGCUACCCCGGGGAUAACAGGCUUAUCUCCCCCAAGAGUCCACAUCGACGGGGAGGUUUGGCACCUCGAUGUCGGCUCAUCGCAUCCUGGGGCUGUAGUCGGUCCCAAGGGUUGGGCUGUUCGCCCAUUAAAGCGGUACGCGAGCUGGGUUCAGAACGUCGUGAGACAGUUCGGUCCCUAUCCGUCGCGGGCGCAGGAAAUUUGAGAGGAGCUGUCCUUAGUACGAGAGGACCGGGAUGGACGCACCGCUGGUGUACCAGUUGUUCUGCCAAGGGCAUCGCUGGGUAGCUAUGUGCGGACGGGAUAAGUGCUGAAAGCAUCUAAGCAUGAAGCCCCCCUCAAGAUGAGAUUUCCCAUUCCGCAAGGAAGUAAGAUCCCUGAAAGAUGAUCAGGUUGAUAGGUCUGAGGUGGAAGUGUGGCGACACAUGGAGCUGACAGAUACUAAUCGAUCGAGGACUUAACCAA
rnacentral:rRNA from 1 species